GAGGGGGGUAGAAUUCCAGGUGUAGCGGUGAAAUGCGUAGAGAUCUGGAGGAAUACCGGUGGCGAAGGCGGCCCCCUGGACAAAGACUGACGCUCAGGUGCGAAAGCGUGGGGAGCAAACAGGAUUAGAUACCCUGGUAGUCCACGCCGUAAACGAUGUCUACUUGGAGGUUGUGCCCUUGAGGCGUGGCUUCCGGAGCUAACGCGUUAAGUAGACCGCCUGGGGAGUACGGCCGCAAGGUUAAAACUCAAAUGAAUUGACGGGGGCCCGCACAAGCGGUGGAGCAUGUGGUUUAAUUCGAUGCAACGCGAAGAACCUUAC
rnacentral:rRNA from 1 species